GACGAACGCUGGCGGCGUGCCUAACACAUGCAAGUCGAGCGGAGUCGAUCGACGGAAGCCUUCGGGCGGAAGAUGGUUGACUUAGCGGCGGAUGGGUGAGUAACGCGUGGGCAACCUGCCUCGAAGACCGGGAUAACAGCCCGAAAGGGCUGCUAAUACCGGAUGUGGUCAAGGAUCCGCAUGGAUUUUUGAUUAAAGGGGAAACCCGUUUCGAGAUGGGCCCGCGUCCUAUCAGCUAGUUGGUGAGGUAAAAGCUCACCAAGGCGACGACGGGUAGCCGGCCUGAGAGGGUGACCGGCCACACUGGAACUGAGACACGGUCCAGACUCCUACGGGGGCAGCAGUGGGGAAUCUUCCACAAUGGGCGAAAGCCUGAUGGAGCGACGCCGCGUGAGCGAAGAAGGCCUUCGGGUGUAAAGCUCUGUCUGGAGGGACGAAGGAAGUGACGGUACCUCCGGAGGAAGCCACGGCUAACUAACGUGCCAGCAGCCGCGGUAAAAUCAACGUGUA
rnacentral:rRNA from 1 species